GAUGAACGCUGGCGGCGUGCCUAAUACAUGCAAGUCGAGCGAACGGACGAGAAGCUUGCUUCUCUGAUGUUAGCGGCGGACGGGUGAGUAACACGUGGAUAACCUACCUAUAAGACUGGGAUAACUUCGGGAAACCGGAGCUAAUACCGGAUAAUAUUUUGAACCGCAUGGUUCAAAAGUGAAAGACGGUCUUGCUGUCACUUAUAGAUGGAUCCGCGCUGCAUUAGCUAGUUGGUAAGGUAACGGCUUACCAAGGCAACGAUGCAUAGCCGACCUGAGAGGGGGAUCGGCCACACUGGAACGGAGACACGGACCAGACUCCUACGGGAGGCAGCAGUAGGGAAUCUUCCGCAAUGGGCGAAAGCCUGACGGAGCAACGCCGCGUGAGUGAUGAAGGUCUUCGGAUCGUAAAACUCUGUUAUUAGGGAAGAACAUAUGUGUAAGUAACUGUGCACAUCUUGACGGUACCUAAUCAGAAAGCCACGGCUAACUACGUG
rnacentral:rRNA from 1 species